rnacentral:rRNA from 1 species
GACGAACGCUGGCGGCGUGCCUUAUACAUGCAAGUCGAACGAUGAAGUUCCUUCGGGAAUGGAUUAGUGGCGAACGGGUGAGUAACACGUGAGUAACCUGCCCUUGACUCUGGGAUAACUGCGGGAAACUGUAGCUAAUACCGGAUACGACCCUCGGCGGCAUCGCCAGGGGGUGGAAAGAAUUUCGGUCAAGGAUGGACUCGCGGCCUAUCAGCUAGUUGGUGAGGUAACGGCGCACCAAGGCCACGACGUGUAGCCGGCCUGAGAGGGUGACCGGCCACACUGGGACUGGGACACGGCCCAGACUCCUACGGGAGGCAGCAGUGGGGAAUAUUGCACAAUGGGCGCAAGCCUGAUGCAGCAACGCCGCGUGAGGGAUGACGGCCUUCGGGUUGUAAACCUCUUUUAGUAGGGAAGAAGCGAAAGUGACGGUACCUGCAGAAAAAGCACCGGCUAACUACGUGCCAGCAGCCGCGGUAA